AUGAGACCUUGCAUAUUCUCACAGAUCUUCAAUAUGUUGGACACCAUCUUUCCCAGGAACCUCAGCCUUCAAAAGAGCCUUGCUUUGUUGCCCAGGCUGGAGUGCAGUGGCACAAUCUCAGCUCACUGCAGCCUCCACUUCCUGGAUUCAAGCAAUUCUCCUGCCUCAGCCCCAAGUAGCUGGGAUUACAGGUAUGUGCCACCCUGCCCAACUAGUUUUUGUAUUUUUAGUAGAGACAGAGUUCUGCCAUGUUGGCCAGGCUGGUCUUGAACUCCUGACCUCAGGUGAUCAGCCCAC
rnacentral:lncRNA from 1 species